rnacentral:rRNA from 1 species
UACGUAGGGUGCGAGCGUUGCCCGGAUUUAUUGGGCGUAAAGGGCGCGUAGGCGGUCACGCACGUCCGUUGUGAAAUCGCUCGGCUCAACUGGGCGGGGUCAGCGGAUACGGUGUGACUGGAGCAAGCUAGGGGGCAAUGGAAUUCCCGGUGUAGUGGUGGAAUGCGUAGAUAUCGGGAGGAACACCAGUGGCGAAGGCGGUUGCCUGGAACUUUGCUGACGCUGAUGCGCGAAAGCGUGGGGAGCGAGCCGG